rnacentral:rRNA from 1 species
UAACUCGCAAAUAUCCACGAAACCCUAAGGCGCAAUGAAAGUGAAGGUCAGGCACAGCACUGACUGAGGCAGGAUCCGUCCGGGUGAGCGAAGCUCUUCUUCCUUUCGCGGGUUCGUCCCGCGGGGGAGCUCGGCGGCGCACUGCCAGCCCAUCUCGGCCGCUUCCUGUCGGCGAGGUGGAGCUAGAGCGCACACGUUGGGACCCGAAAGAUGGUGAACUAUGCUCGGGCAGGACGAAGCCAGAGGAAACUCUGGUGGAGGUCCGUAGCGAUUCUGACGUGCAAAUCGAUCGUCGGACCCGAGUAUAGGGGCGAAAGACUAAUCGAACCGUCUAGUAGCUGGUUCCCUCCGAAGUUUCCCUCAGGAUAGCUGGUGCUCGGAAAGGAACGCAGUCUCAUCCGGUAAAGCGAAUGAUUAGAGGCCUUGGGGCCGAAACGACCUCAACCUAUUCUCAAACUUU